rnacentral:rRNA from 1 species
GCGAGACCGAUAGCAUACAAGUACCGUGAGGGAAAGAUGAAAAGAACUUUGAAAAGAGAGUUAAAGAGUACCUGAAACUGCUGAAAGGGAACCAAAUCGUUUCCAGUGUCUAUAAUCCGUGGUAUAUUUCAUCGGCGAGUGUGUGCGUGCGUGUGCUGUUGCAGUGGCCUUUGGUUGCGCUCGGCGUGUGUGUUGUGUAUGCUUGCUGGUGCCCUGUGCUGCGGUGGGACGUCAAGGUCAGUUUGUAUGCUGCGGGAAAUAGUUACCGAGGAGGUAGGGCUUACGCUUGCGUUUGUCUGUUAUAUCUUGGUGGACGAGUUGUCGCGGUUGAGACUGAGGUGCCUACAACGUGCUUUUGAGUGGGCUUGGGUCUCUGUGUGCGCCGUGUGCGGAUAGCUUGCUAUGCGUUUGUGGUUGUGU